CACAGGGAAGAGGCACGUGUGGGGACUCCCAAUGGACAGCAGCACGGGAGACAUCAAGAAGGGCAUCCAAAUUGGAUGAAGAGGGCAUGGAGGUUGCUGUGUGUCGCCAUGGUUUCCUUCUUAAAGGCCUUAACAUGUACAGGGGAGAAAUAUUUGCCUACCCCAUGUACCUUCAAAAGGAGCUGAUGCCAGCCAAGGCACAAUUCUUUGCCAUGGAUGUGGCUUGCAAAUACUGGCCAUACCUGGAGAAAGUUGCCAGUGUCCUUCCUGCUCUCCAGGAGCUGACCACCAUGAAACCUUUCCUCAGCGUCAUGCAUGCUCGAGCUCAUGCUACCAAGUGUGAGGCAUGUUUAUUAUUUUUUAUUAUGAUUAAAUGGAGUGGUAGGAACCAGGAAGGAGCAGGGACAACCGCCGGUGAAGAGGUGGAACAAGUUAACAGCUACCUCUCUCGUUGUGCCCUUACGACAAAAUAUAUGUCGAAAGCAGACUUGUCAGAGGCUCCUGGAUGAGACUGCAAUGCUAGCAGAGCUAAAAACCCAGCUACAUCUCUCAGAUGAAAUGGUGUCACAGUGGAUCUCAGAUGUGAUGGAAUGGGCAACUGGUGAGACACGAGAUGCAUUUGACAACCUGCAAGGCACCACACACACAGGGCUUCAGCGGUCCAUUGAGGGGCUCUACCUCAGUGUGAGGCAGCGGAAGCUAAAUCUGUACCGUCAGAAUGACAGCAACAAGCUUCGCCACCGGCUUCGGAGGAAGCUGGCAGAAGAGAAAAAGCUCCUUUUUCAGGAGAUACAAAAGCACAACAAGCUUGACUCUGCAGCCAACAUCGAUGCAGCUGUGGUGGAGCACUCCCUGAGUGGAGAGAGCACUGUGUCCCCAAUAUGGCCUUGGGAGGUUCAUGACAGCGCAAACAUUGGAACCAAGAAACGGCUUCAUGACCAAGUCAUGACAACAAAGCGACUGCAGGAGGAAAAAAACAUUCUGGUGAUGGAGAUGGCACAACACUGCACAUGGUUGCAGAACCUGGCAUUGGUUCUCAAAAACAAGGUGGCUGAGUCGGGUGGAGAGUCUGGAGACAAAGGAGCUGAAGGACUUUGCAGUCUCUUGAGGAGAAGAAACACAGAGGUGUCAGAGGGGUUGCAAGUGGUCCUGCAAAAAUACAAGACUGCUUUAGGUCCUGAGGCCUCUGUCAUUCAAAAUAUUGAAGAGGAAGACCAAAGUGUCCACAGCAGUCCAGACACCAGUGAGGAUGAAGAGGAAAGCAUAAUUUAGAUUGAAGCUGCACUGAGGAUGGACUAAGGAAAUGGACUUGCCUAGAAAGCACUAAUGUGAUAAAACAUGCAUUCGGGCGUCUUAUAUUAUUUCACACGCAUAGAUAUUAACUUGGCACUAUGGGGGAGGGAACCAAGGAAGGCAGGCUUUCCUAUGAUUGGCCGUUCUGAAGCGCGAUAUUUGAUUGACAGCCCUCCUCAGCCCGAAUUCAGCCAAGGGUUUCUUACUUGAAGGGACCUUCGCCCAGACGUGAUUGUCUUCUGAGUUUCAGCCAUUGACUACAAUACAGAAUGAAUGAGAGGAGGGCUGAGGAAGGCUCUCAAUCAAAUAUCGUGCUUCAGAAACAGCCAAUCACAGGAAAGCACGCCCUGCCUUGAUUCCCUCCCACAUAGUGCCAAAAUUAAAUUUGAGCGAGAGAGCAUAACAUCAUUCGCGAGAGGCUGUUUUGUAUGACCAAAGUUAUUCCCCCCUCUCGCUUGCAACGAGGUAAUGCUCUCGAGGAUCUUUUUUCCUGGCUCGGGGAGCUGCGCUCUGAGUGCGGACGUGCGCACAGAUAAUUUGGGCGCUCGCAGUUAACCUCUACGUGUAUGAAAUAAUAUAAUACGCCCGAAUGCAUGUUUUAUCCCAUUAGUGCUUUAUGGCACUAAUGUGUCGCCAUACUCAACCGCUUAUCCUGGCAACUUCACACCUGACACUGCACCCUUGGGUCUUCUGCAAUACACCCACCAAGUGUAAAAUAAAUCAGAUGAACACUACUAACUGCUUCCUGUCAACUGACAGCAGUCAGCUGACCGUCAUUACAUCGCUGUAGCACGUGAACAUUCAUUGGUGCCAUACUUGACAGCUCUCCACACAGUUACAUAGCAUUGUGGUGAAUGUUCAGACCACUGUUUCAUCUCUCCCCUUCCAGCGUCACAGAUUAUCAAUCUUGGUGAUGGAGGCACUAGCAUUUUGGUGUGUUAUUUAGUUAAUGUGUGUAAAAGAUGACUUCCUCAAAUGUCUUGUUUUGUUCGGAAUUCAAAGAUAUUCAGUUGACAGAAUAUAUAGAAGUAUAAAGAAACCAGAAAAUAUUACAUUUGAGAAUCUGGAAUCUGAUCAUUUUGAAUUUUUUUAUUUUUCAAAAAAUGAAAAAGUGAUUAAUCGUUCAUCCAAACAGUUGGUUAUUAAUUAAAAUCAAAUAGUUGCAUGUCAUGUAAAAUGUAAAUCAAGGAGAACGACCAUUUUGAUUGAUAGGGUGGCGUGACUAAGUAUGUAUACAUAUAAUAUGUAUGUAAUAUGCAUUAGACUGUAUGUAACAAAGAGACAGUUGUAUAGUUAAUAUAGGUACGUACAGUAUAACUGGAUUACAUGUUCUGUUGUCAGUGCUUAUGUAAAGCUAACCCUACAGUCCAUUUUUAAGAAAUACAGCCCAAAUUGUUUGUGUGUUGGACAGAUCCAUUUGGUGCAUUUUCUCCAGUAUUGUUGCAAAAGAUGAAUACAUUAUUGCCAAAAAUGACCAUUUUUUGUUUUACUUUUCCAUCAUGUUUAGAAACAUCAUGUGACAGUUUUGUGUUUUAUAAAAAAAGAUAGCCUAUCAAGAGAAAAUAUGGGAAACAAACAUAAAUAAUGCAUAAUUAA